rnacentral:lncRNA from 1 species
CAAGCCAUUCUCCUGCCUCAGCCUCCUGAGUAGCUGGGAUUACAGGCAUGCACCACCACACCCGGCUAAUUUUCGUAUUUUUAGUAGAGUUGAGGUUUCACCAUGUUGGCCAGGCUGGUCUCGACCUCCUGACCUCAGGUGAUCCUCCCGCCUCAGCCUCCCAAAGUGCUGGGAUUACAGGCGUGAGCCACUGCUUUUUUCUAAGGUUAAAGGUUAGGUGAUGCCUUUAGGACAAGAACCUGAUGGCCCCUCAGUCAUAUUGGACACAAGUUUACCAUAGGCCCAGAGUUCAUGGAGACAGAAUAGCCCUCCCAGGCCUUUCCUAUCCAAGGAGGCUGAGAAGUUGGGACUCAUAACAGAGAAAUAGGCGGGAGCGAUUCUCCUGCCUCAGCCUCCCGAGUAGCUGGGAUUACAGGCACCUGCCACCAGGCCUGGCUAAUUUUUUUUUGCAUUUUUAGUAGAGACGGGUUUUGCCAUGUUGGCCAGG